rnacentral:rRNA from 1 species
GACGUAGGGUGCGAGCGUUGUCCGGAUUAUUGGCGUAAAGGAGCUCGUAGGCGGCUCGUCGCGUCGACCGUGAAACCCGCGGCUAACUGCGGGCUUGCGGUUGAUACGGGCGGGCUAGAGUUUGGCAGAGGGAGGUGGAAUUCCACGGUGUAGCAGUGAAAUGCGUAGAGAUGUGGAGGAACACCGAUGGCGAAGGCCAGCCUCCUGGGCCAGCACUGACGCUCAU